AUUUUUUUACAGCCAGUCAGACUCAAUCAACCUAUCGACUUGAAUGAUCUCUGUAACAAGCAGGAGGUGACAUUUGAGAUAAAACCUGAAGGCGAAUAUGACCAUGUUGAAAAAACCUACUUUGAGCCUGAUGAAGUUUUUCAUCAACUCAACAAAGAGUGCAUAAACGUUGAAGAAAGCACUGAGGACCCAUUUGAUGCUCAGAUUUUAAAGUCGGAAGAUGUCAGCGAUGGGCAUGGCCUAGUGUGGAAAAAGAUUGAUGUCCC